rnacentral:rRNA from 1 species
AUGAACGCUGGCGGCGUGCCUAAUACAUGCAAGUCGAACGAGUUCUCGUUGAUGAUCGGUGCUUGCACCGAGAUUCAACAUGGAACGAGUGGCGGACGGGUGAGUAACACGUGGGUAACCUGCCCUUAAGUGGGGGAUAACAUUUGGAAACAGAUGCUAAUACCGCAUAGAUCCAAGAACCGCAUGGUUCUUGGCUGAAAGAUGGCGUAAGCUAUCGCUUUUGGAUGGACCCGCGGCGUAUUAGCUAGUUGGUGAGGUAAUGGCUCACCAAGGCGAUGAUACGUAGCCGAACUGAGAGGUUGAUCGGCCACAUUGGGACUGAGACACGGCCCAAACUCCUACGGGAGGCAGCAGUAGGGAAUCUUCCACAAUGGACGCAAGUCUGAUGGAGCAACGCCGCGUGAGUGAAGAAGGCUUUCGGGUCGUAAAACUCUGUUGUUGGAGAAGAAUGGUCGGCAGAGUAACUGUUGUCGGCGUGACGGUAUCCAACCAGAAAGCCACGGCUAACUACGUGCCAGCAGCCGCGGUAAUACGUAGGUGGCAAGCGUUAUCCGGAUUUAUUGGGCGUAAAGCGAGCGCAGGCGGUUUUUUAAGUCUGAUGUGAAAGCCCUCGGCUUAACCGAGGAAGCGCAUCGGAAACUGGGAAACUUGAGUGCAGAAGAGGACAGUGGAACUCCAUGUGUAGCGGUGAAAUGCGUAGAUAUAUGGAAGAACACCAGUGGCGAAGGCGGCUGUCUGGUCUGUAACUGACGCUGAGGCUCGAAAGCAUGGGUAGCGAACAGGAUUAGAUACCCUGGUAGUCCAUGCCGUAAACGAUGAAUGCUAGGUGUUGGAGGGUUUCCGCUCUUCAGUGCCGCAGCCAACGCAUUAAGCAUUCCGCCUGGGGAGUACGACCGCAAGGUUGAAACUCAAAGGAAUUGACGGGGGCCCGCACAAGCGGUGGAGCAUGUGGUUUAAUUCGAAGCAACGCGAAGAACCUUACCAGGUCUUGACAUCUUUUGAUCACCUGAGAGAUCAGGUUUCCCCUUCGGGGGCAAAAUGACAGGUGGUGCAUGGUUGUCGUCAGCUCGUGUCGUGAGAUGUUGGGUUAAGUCCCGCAACGAGCGCAACCCUUAUGACUAGUUGCCAGCAUUUAGUUGGGCACUCUAGUAAGACUGCCGGUGACAAACCGGAGGAAGGUGGGGAUGACGUCAAAUCAUCAUGCCCCUUAUGACCUGGGCUACACACGUGCUACAAUGGAUGGUACAACGAGUUGCGAGACCGCGAGGUCAAGCUAAUCUCUUAAAGCCAUUCUCAGUUCGGACUGUAGGCUGCAACUCGCCUACACGAAGUCGGAAUCGCUAGUAAUCGCGGAUCAGCACGCCGCGGUGAAUACGUUCCCGGGCCUUGUACACACCGCCCGUCACACCAUGAGAGUUUGUAACACCCGAAGCCGGUGGCGUAACCCUUUUAGGGAGCGAGCCGUCUAAGGUGGGACAAAUGAUUAGGGUG